AUGGGAUUCUUCUAAUGGAUGGUGAAAUAGUCUGCUUGAAAUAGUCUUGUAAAAAUUAUAAGCAAGUACUAUUUGCAUUCUCUCCUAACAGAUGUGGUCUACUUGCCAAUUAAUGAUAGAGUUAAAAUCAUCUUGAAGAAGCAAAGAAUGAGUGAACUCUCCAGAUUUUCAAAAGGCUUCUUCUUGACAAGCACCAAAUGAAUACUUCCCCCUAGUUUCUAAUCGAAAGACAGAACAGAUUUUUGUUACAGUGAUUAUUAAAACAAUUGCCACCUUCUGGUGUAAAGCGAUGUCAACAAUGAACAAUCAAGUAAUGCCCUUUGCUUUAGGUACAGUCAAGCGCUCAAAGCAACUAGAAACAAGUCUGCAGGAGGCCAAAUUUUUUCACAUCUGUGAGUUGGACUGGGGUUGGGGGCACACAGAGGAAGAGCAAAGAAGUUCAAAGCAGUCAAUGAACUCUGGUCACAACCAUCACCCGAAGGAACAAAGCUACUGGUUUGGAGCAUAUAUGCUGAAUUGGAUUUAUAACGUUCACAAUCAACGUGAAAUAGAAAUGCUUCAGAUGGUCAGUCAUCUACUGAAAUUUGUUUCAUCUGGCUUCUUAAGAUC
rnacentral:lncRNA from 1 species